rnacentral:lncRNA from 1 species
GUCUGUGGUUAGUUAGUGGAGCAGGUGUGUAGUUUGGAACUGUUGUGUUUACACACUCAGAGACCAACAGCAUUUUCUUAGUUGCUCUCAAUGCUGCUGUUGCCCUUUGUUGCCUCGUUGCCCCACUUCACCUGCUGCGUUAGAGCUCACCUGUCCAUUCAGUGACACCACCUGACAGCUCAUCAUCUCAUGACGUGGAGAUGGAUCAGGACACGGUGAAGGAACAACAUGAGAUCCAGACUGAAGAUCAGAGGAAGCAGCUCACACCUGAACCUGGACCCAGCUGUGUGUCCUUUAGAAGUGACCAGUCCAUGCACAGACCCAUUACAUUCAAAGGUGGUCCAUCUACUGACCCACAGUGAGUCCACAUAAAGAAGGUUGCUGGUUGUCUUCCUGAUGGUCCAGGGGCCUCAUUUAUUGAUCCGUUCAUAGAACUGGUUCUAAAUACGUUCAGACCAAUGAAAUGUAGAAUGUGCACCAGUACAAAAAGAAUCAGUAUUUAUGAA